rnacentral:rRNA from 1 species
AACGAACGCUGGCGGCAGGCCUAACACAUGCAAGUCGAACGCCCCGCCAGGGGAGUGGCGGACGGGUGAGUAGCACGUGGGGACCUUCACUAUAGUACGGAAUAGCCUAGGGAAACUUGGAGCAAUACCGAAUACGCCCGAAAGGGGAAAGAAAUUUGCUAUAGGAUGGGCGCGCGUAGGAUUAGCUAGCUGGUGGGGUAAUGGCUGACCAAGGCGACGAUCCUUACCUGGUUUGGGAGAACGACCAGCCACACGGGGACUGCGACACGGCCCAGACUCCUACGGGAGGCAGCAGUGGGGAAUAUUGUACAAUGAGCGCAAGCCUGAUCCAGCCAUGCCGCGUGAGUGGUGAAUGCCUUAGGGUUGUAAAGCUCUUUUGGCGGGGACGAUAAUGACGGUACCCGCAGAAUAAGUCCCGGCUAACUUCGUG